rnacentral:misc_RNA from 1 species
GAUGAAGAACGCAGCGAAAUGCGAUAAGUAAUGCGAAUUGCAGAAUUUCCGUGAGUCAUCGAAUCUUUGAACGCACAUUGCGCCCACUGGUAUUCCGGGGGGCAUGCCUGUCCGAGCGUCAUUUGCAACCCUCAAGCCCGGCUUGUGUGAUGGGUGCCGUCCCCUACGGGACGCGCCCCGAAGGCAAUGGCGGCGUCGCGGUUAUCCGAUCAGCCAAAGUGUAUGGGGCUUUGUCACUCACUUUACGGCCCGGACCGGCGCCAGUCCGAAUCAAUCUUUUUUCUAAAGUUGACCUCGGAUCAGGUAGGGAUACCCGCUGAACUUAAGCAUAUCAAUAAGCGGAGGA